CGACGCCUUGGCGGACGUGUCGCCGUUCUGGCCCUGCGAGCCGGAGUGGUCCGCGGAGGAACCGCUCGUGGGCCGGGUCGAGGCCGACGCCGCCGC
rnacentral:tRNA from 1 species